rnacentral:rRNA from 1 species
UUCCUACGGGGGGCAGCAGUGGGGAAUAUUGGACAAUGGGGGGAACCCUGAUCCAGCGACGCCGCGUGAGUGAAGAAGGUCUUCGGAUCGUAAACCUCUGUCAGCAGGGAAGAACGGUCACUGUGCUAAUCAGCAGUGAAUUGACGGUACCUGCAAAGGAAGCACCGGCUAACUCCGUGCCAGCAGCCGCGGUAAUACGGAGGGUGCGAGCGUUAAUCGGAAUUACUGGGCGUAAAGCGCUCGUAGGCGGUAUGUCAAGUCAAGGGUGAAAUCCCCGCGCUCAACGUGGGAACUGCCUUUGAAAC